rnacentral:rRNA from 1 species
CAGUCGCCGCGGGAAUACGAAGGGGGCUAGCGUUGUUCGGAAUUACUGGGCGUAAAGCGCGCGUAGGUGGUUCAUUAAGUUGGAUGUGAAAGCCCUGGGCUCAACCUGGGAACUGCAUCCAAAACUGGUGAGCUAGAGUACGGUAGAGGGUAGUGGAAUUUCCUGUGUAGCGGUGAAAUGCGUAGAUAUAGGAAGGAACACCAGUGGCGAAGGCGACUACCUGGACUGAUACUGACACUGAGGUGCGAAAGCGUGGGGAGCAAACAGGAUUAGAUACCCCCGUAGUCCCUGUCUCUUAUAA